GUCGUGGGGCAGCAUGACUGUAGCAAUACAGUUGAUGGCGACCGGCAAACGGGUGCGGAACACGUACACAACCUUCCUUUUAGUGGAGAAUAGCCCAGGGAAACUUGGAUUAAUACUCCGUAACAUAUAGAAGUGGCAUCACUUCUAUAUUAUAGCAGCAAUGCGCUAGAAGAUGGGUGUGCGGCUGAUUAGAUAGUUGGCGGGGUAACGGCCCACCAAGUCGACGAUCAGUAACUGGUGUGAGAGCACGACCAGUCACACGGGCACUGAGACACGGGCCCGACUCCUACGGGAGGCAGCAGUAAGGAAUAUUGGUCAAUGGACGCAAGUCUGAACCAGCCAUGCCGCGUGGAGGAUGAAGGUCCUCUGGAUUGUAAACUUCUUUUAUUUGGGAAGAAACCCAUCUUUUCUAAGAUGGUUGACGGUACCAGAUGAAUAAGCACCGGCUAACUCCGUGCCAGCAGCCGCGGUAAUACGGAGGGUGCAAGCGUUAUCCGGAUUCACUGGGUUUAAAGGGUGCGUAGGUGGGCAAGUAAGUCAGUGGUGAAAUCUCCGGGCUUAACCCGGAAACUGCCAUUGAUACUAUUUGUCUUGAAUACUGUGGAGGUCAGCGGAAUAUGUCAUGUAGCGGUGAAAUGCUUAGAUAUGACAUAGAACACCAAUUGCGAAGGCAGCUGGCUACACAAAUAUUGACACUGAGGCACGAAAGCGUGGGGAUCAAACAGGAUUAGAUACCCUGGUAGUCCACGCCCUAAACUAUGGAUACUCGACAUUUGCGAUAAACUGCAAGUGUCUGAGCGAAAGCAUUAAGUA
rnacentral:rRNA from 1 species